GAUGAACGCUAGCGGCAGGCUUAACACAUGCAAGUCGAGGGGUAACAUUGGUGCUUGCAUCAGAUGACGACCGGCGAACGGGUGCGUAACGCGUAUAGAAUCUGCCUUGUACAGGAGGAUAGCCUUUAGAAAUGAAGAUUAAUACUCCAUAAUAUUGGGAAGUGGCAUCACUAUCUAAUUAAACAUUUAUGGGUACAAGAUGACUAUGCGUCCUAUUAGCUAGAUGGUAAGGUAACGGCUUACCAUGGCAACGAUAGGUAGGGGGUCUGAGAGGAUUAUCCCCCACACUGGUACUGAGACACGGACCAG
rnacentral:rRNA from 1 species